rnacentral:lncRNA from 1 species
ACCACAAGGCUCAGGGACUGAAAAGCAGGGUAAGCGGCCGCAGCCAUGAUGGUUAGACCCGAGUCGCCAACGGUACGGUGUCGGGCGGCCGCGGGCUGGUCUGCGGCAUUUGGGACCGGGCAAAAAACGUGUUUUAUUGUCAUCAUAAAAAUAAGAGUUGGGUGGACUAGUGAUCACACUGCGUUGGUGACUGAAAAGGUUAUUUAUGUGACUGCUUUUUGCAAACCUACGUGAUCGCAAGUAACAAAAAGGGACCAACGGGAAGAAGUAGGUAAAUUUCAAGGCGAAAGCGGGGACACUUGGACCACUGCAGGCUUUUUUUGUUUGUUUUGGUGCUUCUGCUAGGCGAAGAUACGAUGGGGGUCUUCCCCUUCGCCAUUUUACCCAUUCGGAAGGAACUGAGAUAAGUGCUUUUCAACCAACCUUCGUCCUUUUUUUAAACAUAAAAUGGCCUCAGAGAAGGUUCCCAAAGCACAGCCGCCAAAAACAACCUAAGAAACCCCCAAAGUAACCAUUAAUCUUCCACUGCAUUAAAGUGGAUCACGAUGGGUCUCGGGGGUUCGCCCGAUUCCCCACACACAGUUUUUGUUCUGUAGCCACUCGGGGAGCCCUCGUCAAGCCAGCGCGGACGGGCCCCUCGGGGGGAAGCGGCGGCUCCCCUCCCGCCCUCCCUCCCGGCGGCCGGGUUCUGGGGCCGGGGCUGCGCGCCCGACCGGGCCCAACCGCCUCCGCGGCCCGGCCCGGCCCGCGGCGGCCCCAGGCCCCACCGGCGCCCCCGCCCUCCCCGCGCCGCGAGCCCUCGGCGCCCCCCCGCGCCCGCCGCCCGGCGCUCCGGCCCGAUCCGCCCGAGGCGGGAAGCGGCGGCGGCGGCGGCCGCGCGGGCGGCUGAAGAGUCGAGGCCGGGAGUCGCCGCCGUCCCCGCCCCCGCCCGGUCCGGCCGUUGCUGCAGCCUGAACGAAGCCCCCGCCGGCCACCGAACCACGUCCUUACCACGGUGUUUGUAUUUGCCGAGUUCGCCAUUUCCACACACAACACAAACAAGAGGGGGCAACCCCAAGAAAACAAGAUAAAAACAAAACCAAAAAAAAAAAAACUAUAACACCCGGAGGGUGACCCAAAUCACCGCAAGAUUGGGGAAAAAAUUUUAAACAAAAUCAAUCCUGAAGGAGUAGGGGAGAGCGGAGAGAGGAGGAGGAGGGGGGCACUCCUCCCGCAGCUGAAAACCUCGAGAAUCGCCUUAAAAAAAAAAAAAAAGCCACGACCCUUCAGGGGUCCGGGGGGCGUUGCCCGCUCCCCACCCCGCGCCAAGGAGGGAAACCACCACCGGUCACCGCUCCCUGCGCCGCCGCUGCCGCCACCGGCUGCAGCUCCAGCCGUCCGGUCCGCCCGCUUCUCUCCUUUAUAUAGCGAGCCAACAAGCUGCGCGAGCCACCACCGCCGCCGCCGCCGCCGCCGAGAGACAGGGUGAAGGGGGAGGGAGGGGCGGAAAGGGCGGGGGCAGAGGUGGGCGGGGCUGAGCGCGAGACACCGCGAGAGCCGCGUGCGCAGGCGCGCCGGGGCGGAGGCCGCCGGCGAGCCGCGUUGUCACGCGCCGUGGCGGGUACUGGACUGGCGGAGCCCGGGGAGUGAAGUAGUGAAAUCGGACCUACGCCUCUCCAACGCUCGCGUGAUCACGUGGUUGGCACCCAGGCGGAAGUCUGCGGCAGUUCUUUGCGGUGAAGAACUUGCAAAGCGUUGCUGGAAAAGACGGGAGUUCUACUGACACUCCAGUCCAAAGCUAGGUGGGACCGCCUCCUGUCGCACGUUUCCGCCUGGUCCCGCGCUUUAGGAGCUAGGAAAUGUGACAGAGGCGGUGCCUACUGCCUCGCUAGGAAUGGCCGCGGAGGAGGACUGGUCACGUGGCGUGGCUUCCGGCCUCUGGCGCGUUCCUAUUCGGGAAGGUUUUAAAUGCGGAGUCAUCUCUUGAUUUGUCAGCGAGGCUUUGACUGUGAGCUUCGCGGCGUUCGCGCCUCACCGCCUCACCGAGGGGGCCAAUUUUGAAACAAACUAGACAGAGAGACCCCAACUGCAGAAUCCUCCUGCUCAAGGGGGAUUAGGAACCAUUAGCCCAGCACUACCAGCUGAGGUCAGGAUGACAUGAACUGGGCCUUCAGGCAGGCAGUUACUGAAGAUGACCGUCAGAAGAAGACACACAGACCUACACCUUCCUGCGCUACUCCUGCAUAUUUCCCACACCUUUUUGCUUCUUAAACCCCUUCACUCACUCCAAAAAGUUGGAGUGAUCUGUUAAAGGCAUGAGCCUGUCCAUCCCCCAACUGCUAACAUUGGAAUAAAGUUGCUUUCCU